GGGGCUGUAGCUCAGUGGUAGAGUGCUUGCCUCGUAUGUGUGAGGCAUUGAGUUCAAUUCUCAGCACCA
rfam:Ictidomys tridecemlineatus contig084954, whole genome shotgun sequence.